AUCAGGACUGGAAGGAGGUGAGAAAAUGGCCCUGACACUCCUUGUCUGAAGACACUGUGAAUAGAGUCUUUGCCCACAGUAUCCAGCCCUCCUGUGCAAGCAGGCUCCCGGCCAGACGCUCUUGAAAGCAGAUACCAAUUCAUGCGGACUCUCUUUCCUAAAUCCCUCAUCCUUCCCUCGUCUCAGGGAUCUGCCAGCACUUUCCUUCCGGACCUCAGCAUCUCAGCUGGGCACCACAGUAGUCCCGCAGCUGUUUUCAUGGGAUUCGUUUCUCCCACUCUCAAUCUGUCCUCUACGGAAUCAUCAGAAAGCCCUUUCUGAAACCACCUGGGACACAUCACUCCAUCCUUAAAGCACCUCAAGCGUUUCCAGACCCUGAAGAAAACCUCUCUUCAGCUUUUCUGAUACCUUAGGACACAUUUUGCUAAUGGCUGCACAAAAUAAAUGGAGAUGAACCACA